UGCUUUUCUGUCAACCCCCGCCCCCCUUCAUCCCCUUGUCUUUCCCAUACAUAAUCGGGAAGUGUACUAGAGAAUCAAAAGGAGCCCUUUUGAUUUUAUUCGUUAAAGCUGCUCACAGCCACUAGAGGGCAGUGUGGGUGCCAGCCUCUCCAGAUUUCCUCUCUUCAGACUGACCCAUCCACACAUCCUGUAACAGGAUGUUUCUGAACUCUUCCUUCAAUUCUCCGUUUAAGUAAACAACUCGGGCUGGAUCCACCCAGACUCACAUCCCGGUAACCCCACGGAUCACGCAGGUCCACAUUCCUGUUCUCAGUGUAGGCUUUUGGUCAAAAGCGGAGAAGCUCAGCUGAGCGAAGCCUGUAAGAUCCAUCAUGGACACAAACAGGAAGACAGAGAGCCAUGAAUGUUUGUCUUGGAAUGAGGCACUAUGGGUAUAAAUUGGGGUCUGCUGAAGCUGUCCCAGGGUCUUGGUGGACCGAGAAAAGCAAAGUUAUAGUAGUCAAGGGGUCCGGGAGCGGCAUUUGUCUUCCAGGUAGCUCAGCUUAGGGCUCACAGAGAUCUUGCACUCCCGUUCAGGAGCAGGAGAAAGCCACCAUCUCACUGCACCGGUGCGUGAGGAACUGCAGGAUCACACAGCUUUAAGAAGGUGGAAAAUCACUGGAAACCGACUCGAAGCUGCAGACCUAGAGGAAAAUGUGACUUGGAGUUGAGGAGGAUGCAAGGCUCACCACAGACAGCUUUCUGGGCCCCGGCUCUGGAGCUGGACUUCUUCAGACACGGACUGAUACCAGGCUUAUCGUUGGUUUCUCAGCAGAGGCAGAUAAGGUGAGGGAAAUAUUUGGAGGCAGAGAUUUCUGGAAUGUCCCCACAGUGCUGAAAUAGCAUCCAGAGUUCAAGAAGGCCAUAUUUGGACAAUGAUAACUAUGUUGUGUUUUUUUUUUCUUCUUUUCUAUCUUCUGUGUUUUCACUGCUUCGUAAUAACAUUUAACCUUUUUUCACACAAGGUCAGUGCUGCUGUCCUAGCACUGUCCCAAAGACCUCCCCACCCGAGGACAGAUCCCAGACCCUCCCAGGGUGGGAAACGUACUGUGUUUCUAAAGGGAAAGUACAAUAGAGGCCAGUGCUUGCUGAAAUCCGUCAGAUCGGGAGUGUAACCCAGCAAAUCAUUCUUGGGAGAAAGAAGAUGAAACAGACAAAGAGUUCCUAGUUCAAUAUUAGAAUAAAUAAAUAAAUAAAUAUUGCACAGAAUUCUUUCUUCCAGGGCCGGGUUAACACUUUCCCUGCAGGCCUAGAGAGAGGGAGUUCUGGAGAAGAAAGAUGGUAGGUAUGUUGCAGGAAGCCACCCCGGAACAGAGCCACCUAGACUACUCCCGAGCCAACAAAGCCUGAAGUAGUGUUGACAAAGGGCGGAGGUGGAUCCAAGAGUCUCCGGUUGCCGCCCUCACCUGCUCGGGACCUCUGAGGCUCUCAGCAAGACACCAACAAGAGCUUUUCUUCCGCAGGCCCUUUAUUUACUAGACAGUGAGCCAGCCCCAGGAAAUCAAGUUGCAAGACCUCUCCUCACCCAGGUCACCUGGACAAAUCCAAGGUCGGGCACACCGGGACAAAUGAAAACAGAACUCCAGGAAGAGAGGGUAAACAGCCCCUGAAGCCCUAGAAGGGACUUGGCUAAAGGGAGUUGUUUCUGGACUGAGAAGCUGGCCUCGGUCUGUGUGCUUCUGAAUGUAUAAUUGAUGUGGCUCAUGUGUUUCCAGUAAAGGAACUUUUGUUUUUCUUUUC